rnacentral:rRNA from 1 species
CUUUCCCUCUGGCGGCAGGCCUAACACAUGCAAGUCGAGCGGAUGAAGGGAGCUUGCUCCUGGAUUCAGCGGCGGACGGGUGAGUAAUGCCUAGGAAUCUGCCUGGUAGUGGGGGAUAACGUCCGGAAACGGGCGCUAAUACCGCAUACGUCCUGAGGGAGAAAGUGGGGGAUCUUCGGACCUCACGCUAUCAGAUGAGCCUAGGUCGGAUUAGCUAGUUGGUGGGGUAAAGGCCUACCAAGGCGACGAUCCGUAACUGGUCUGAGAGGAUGAUCAGUCACACUGGAACUGAGACACGGUCCAGACUCCUACGGGAGGCAGCGGUGGGGAAUAUUGGACAAUGGGCGAAAGCCUGAUCCAGCCAUGCCGCGUGUGUGAAGAAGGUCUUCGGAUUGUAAAGCACUUUAAGUUGGGAGGAAGGGCAGUAAGUUAAUACCUUGCUGUUUUGACGUUACCAACAGAAUAAGCACCGGCUAACUUCGUG